AGACUUUACACCUGCUUCCUACGAAGAGGGAGCUCUUGCCAGCGAGCCCAUGCUUACCCAUAAUCUACGAAGAGAUCUUUUCAUCUCCUCUCCGUGAACACUUGGGGAGGGGCUGGGACUCCAGGCGACACGGAAACGCCACCACACGCACACUCGACGGAGCACAACACUUUCUGAGCUGCCAUCCAUUUUUAAUUUAUUGGAUCCAAGAGAAAAUAACAACCGUAGGGAGGGGGGAGGAGAAGGGUGGAGGGGGAGAGAGCAGGAAUCAAUUCUUGGUGGAGAAAAUAAUCUAUGACUAGAUGACGCUUAAAGGCACGACAAGAGAUUUUAUGAAGUUCCCCUAACGGAGGGAAUAAUGAAGUGCCUGGCAGAGAAGGAAAUGGAGAUAAGAGGGAGGCUGGUGUCAGGAGGAUGUCCACAGGGGGUCUCGAAGGGUUAUUAGGACACAAGUUGGGGGUGGGGACCCUGGGAAGGCACAGCCAGGCGGAGUCUGAAGCAGGAAGCAAGACCCAGAUCACACCUCUCUGUCCUGACCCUCGACCCUCUCAGCAGACAGUCAGAGGAGUCCAGCCUGCUCCAGGUGCGGAAGAAAAGAAGGGCUUCCACACAGGACACUGGACCUCAAGGCUUUAGCUGGAGGAGUUUGGAUUAUCUGAGGCCAACAGCAAAUAGCAAGGGCAGGAGUGCUUUCGACAUCUCUUUUCCAAGUAAAAUAGCUCAGGCUGGCUAUUCAACACCCAAGCAAAUUAUCAGCUGCCACAAGAAAAAGAAAAAAGAAUGAAUUUCUUGAUUUUCAGCAACUGCACAAAAGACUAGCAUAUGUCAAAAUGCUGGACCAACAUCCCGUGAAUGUGGCACCAUUCAUCAAGCCUCCAUCUAGUGU
rnacentral:lncRNA from 1 species